rnacentral:lncRNA from 1 species
AAUUAAUAAGUAACGAAAAUAUAAUUUUCCUAGUUUAUUUGUUUUACAUACGACUAAACAAGUAGAAAACGAUCCUUUUAGCAUGAUUUAAAUAAGAAUGUAAUUUGAUUUUACUCUGUAAGCAUCAAAACAGAGGCCGUCAAAUUUGGUAGGUGCCACUUCCUUUCUCCAGAAUCUAACAGGGGACAAAACACCGCUUAUGUGAGAAAUAUUGCAUCAGUGUGACCUGCGAACAUCUUAAAAAAAAUAAAUAAAAUUAUAUGGAUUCUAAUUUGAACUGUAUGUGAAGUAGAUAUGCACAGAUAGAUCCUAUUUGGAUGCGUGGAUAUUCAUUUGGUAUAUCUGUUUGAUAUACUCUAAAAAUAUGUAGGAUUUGGUAGAUAAUGAGUUUGAUCGCUUAUCUAGAAGUAAUACUAUAUUCGGCUUUCAUAUUAUUUUUUUAGAAUAAGAUAAAUUAUUUUGCAGAUAAAAUAUAUCAUCCUACUUAUGUAGUUGUCUAAGAGCUUGAUGUUUGGUAUUCGAUGUCCCAAGUUUAAGCCUUAGUUGCUUCACGCGCGUUUUAGUUGAUCCUCAAACUGUGAAGUUCGUGUCAGUUUGGUUUUCAAACAUUAAUUUAUUAUAAUUUUGACUCAGUCUCACUAGUUGGCUAAUGAUAAUGUGUCAUUAAUGUAACAAUAAUAUAACAGUAUUGUGAUUGAUGAUGUAAGAAUAAUUACUACUAUAUUAGCGAUACAUUAUCAUUCAGCUAAUUAAUAAAAUUGGAUUAUACAAUUUGCUUGCAAUAGUAUAAACACUCUAAGCUAGAAAUUAUAAUAAAUUAAAAUUUGAAAAUCAAAUUGCCACUUAUCUCAAAAUCGAAAACCAUAGUAGUAAUUUAGCCAUGUAUUUGCUAUCUCAUGCUAACUACUCCAUGCUAAAGGUGUUCGUGGAUCGGGUUAGGUUUGAGUAGUUGAUAAACUAUAUUCAUACUCUAAAAAGAAAUUGAUAGGAAAAAAUAUAUAUACCCUAUUCAUUUAAUUUCGGGUCGGGUCCAGAUCUGAAUACUUAAGUUAAUAAUAUACCCGUCAGGUUUAUUUGAGCGGGUCUGAGUAGUGACUAUCCGUAUACUAUCCGCUUAAUAUCAGGUAUGGACCGGAUACAGGUCUGGUCUAGAUCGGAUACGAAUACCGGCCCGUAUGCAUAUAUUUUUUAUAGACUUUACUAAAUAUAAACAAAUCAUAAAUUUCUCAUUACAAAAAACUCGCGUUCUAAUUAGUUGCAUCCAGUCCAAUAAAAUUCGUUCAAAAGAAAUAUUCAAACAGUAAAUAGUUAGAACAAAAAUAGAGUAAAAUAAAAAAAAAAAAUAA